rnacentral:rRNA from 1 species
UGCCCCACCCGAUCCCAUUCCGAACUCGGCCGUGAAACCCCUCAGCGCCGAUGGUACUGCGUGACGACACGUGGGAGAGUAGGCCGUCGCCGGGU